CUUUAAAAGAAAUCAUCGGUGACCUUUAGAAAAUGCAUGGCUAGAUUAGAGUAGGAUUCCAGAGGGACAAUGUAAUAGCUGAUGAUUAAGGUACUUACCACCAAAUAUGUAUCAUUUUUGCAAAAGGAGAAUAUAUUCCUCCUGCCCUCUGAUACAGCAGAACAUUUCUACAAGCCAAGUAUGAAAAAAAAGCUAUCAAAAUAAAUGCAACAUUUUGUUCCAGGUGCACGUCUCUGAAUUUACAGCUCAAGCAGUGCAUCCACAUUCUGAACGUGUUGGACUUUUCAGCUCUCUAAAGAAUGAUAUCAGAGUGCCCUCGACACAAAAGCUGCCCGUUGCCCUUGGGAAAUGCUCUCUCUGCAGUUGCUUCAAGCUCUGUGCAAAUGAAGCAGAAGGCAACCAAAAGAUACCAGCAAGAGGUCUGCGAAGGAUUGGAGGACCCAAGUAUUGUGGCCAUGCCCAGAGUUGCAGGCUUGAGCAUGCAGGGCUGUAGAGAAACUACAUUCAUCAGCUGGUUCCUAUGGAUUUGGUGCAAAUUUCUGUGUGAAACAACAGGUUCACAGGCAGACCACAUCCUCCCCCUUUACAGGGAGAAUGACUUCCUAUAAAGAAGAGGAGCAGGUGACCUUCAAUAUCUCUGCUAAUUUUACUUCUCUCUGUUUGCUGGAUGGGCAUUUCUAUGGUACAGAAUAACCUAGUCUAGUUUAUUAAGUCCUGCUGUCAUUCACAAUGUUCAAGUUCACAUCCUGUUACAAAGCAGAAUUGAUUGUAUUGUUGUAUUGGUGUCUUUUAAGAAGAAUGCUAUUAAAUUUGGUAGGCUUACAGCUCAAAGACGCUGCAGUGAACAAGAGAAUCAGUUCCUCCAUAUCAGUAUUCUGAUUUAAAUUAUUCAGUUUGACAACAAUUUAGGCUGCUGCUGCGCUGAAUCCUCUGAUCAAUACUGUCUCGCUGCUCUCUUUUUCUACUCCCAUCUUCUAUUUUCAUCUUUUGCGCUUAGUGUUCCACUUGGAUUGCAAAGUCCUUGAAUCACAAUCGUUGCUUUGUUCUUUGUAAAGUGCCUAGAGCAAUUCAGUCCUGGUCUGUAACUAGUGUGCCCAAACGGUGUAAUAAAUGUGUCGCAAUUACUACUGACGCUGCAGUUGUUAUUGUAUCCAGGACCAUACAGGUGAUAAAUGAAUGGCAGUAAAGUUGUAAGUUUUCCUUUUUAUCACACAAUGCAUCCCAAACAUCUGCAGAAGGUGUUCUUGCUGCCACUG
rnacentral:lncRNA from 13 species